UACGUAGGGGGCAAGCGUUGUCCGGAAUCAUUGGGCGUAAAGGGCGCGUAGGCGGCCCGGUAAGUCAAAGGUGAAAUCCCUCGGCUCAACUGAGGAACUGCCUUUGAAACUGUCGGGCUUGAGGCCGGGAGGGGGUAGCGGAAUUCCCAGUGUAGCGGUGAAAUGCGUAGAUACUGGGAGGAACACCAGUGGCGAAGGCGGCUACCUGGACCGGUUCUGACGCUGAUGCGCGAAAGCGUGGGUAGCAAACAGG
rnacentral:rRNA from 1 species